AUUGAACGCUGGCGGCAGGCCUAACACAUGCAAGUCGAACGGUAACAGGAAGCAGCUUGCUGCUUCGCUGACGAGUGGCGGACGGGUGAGUCAUGUCUGGGAAGCUGCCUGAUGGAGGGGGAUAACUACUGGAAACGGUAGCUACUACCGCAUAAUGUCGCAAGACCAAAGAGGGGGACCUUCGGGCCUCUUGCCAUCGGAUGUGCCCAGAUGGGAUUAGCUUGUUGGUGGGGUAACGGCUCACCAAGGCGACGAUCCCUAGCUGGUCUGAGAGGAUGACCAGCCACACUGGAACUGAGACACGGUCCAGACUCCUACGGGAGGCAGCAGUGGGGAAUAUUGCACAAUGGGCGCAAGCCUGAUGCAGCCAUGCCGCGUGUAUGAAGAAGGCCUUCGGGUUGUAAAGUACUUUCAGCGGGGAGGAAGGGAGUAAAGUUAAUACCUUUGCUCAUUGACGUUACCCGCAGAAGAAGCACCGGCUAACUCCGUG
rnacentral:rRNA from 1 species